UACGGAGGGUGCAAGCGUUGUCCGGAAUCAUUGGGCGUAAAGGGUGCGCAGGCGGAAGUCUAAGUCGGAGGUGAAAGUUUGCCGCUUAACGGUAAAAGCGCCUUCGAAACUGGAUUUCUUGAGUUCGGAAGAGGUCGGUGGAAUUCGUGGUGUAGCGGUGAAAUGCAUAGAUAUCACGAAGAACACCAGUGGCGAAGGCGGCCGACUGGUCCGAUACUGACGCUGAGGCACGAGAGCGUGGGGAGCGAACAGG
rnacentral:rRNA from 1 species